rnacentral:rRNA from 1 species
GACAGCCAGGAGGUUGGCUUAGAAGCAGCCAUCCUUUAAAGAAAGCGUAACAGCUCACUGGUCAAGUGUUUCUGCGCGGAAGAUUUAACGGGGCUAAGUAUAACACCGAAGCUGUGGACUCGAAAGAGUGGUAGAGGAGCAUUGUAGCAACCGUUGAAGGUGUCUGGUGAUGGAUGCUGGAGGAACUACAAGUGCAUAUGCUAGCAUUAGUAGCGAUAAAGCAAGUGAGAAACUUGCUCGCCGGAAGCCCAAGGUUUCCUGGGAAAGGGUAAUCCUCCCAGGGUUAGUCGGCACCUAAGGCGAGGCCGAAAGGCGUAGUCGAUGGACAAUAGGUUAAUAUUCCUAUACCUGACAGUGAAGUGAUGCAGGGGUGAAGGAAGGUAGUCAUGCCAGUUAUUGGAUUCUGGUUCAAGCAUGUAGGAUGAUUCUCUUGGCAAAUCCGGAGAGUCUUAAGUCCGAGAUGUGAUGUGGUGGUCUUCGGACCUGAAGAUGAUGAUCCUCUACUUACAAGAAAAGCUGCUAAACGUUGAAGCUGUUAGACCGUACUGCAAACCAACUCAGGUGGGCAGGGAGAGAAUCCUAAGGCGUUUGAGUGAAACAUGGUUAAGGAACUCGGCAAAUUGACACCGUAACUUCGGGAUAAGGUGUGCCAGCAGUGUGUAAAGAUUUACUCUUGAAGCAUAGUCUGGUUGCAGAGACCAGGGGGUAGCGACUGUUUACCAAAAACAUAGCACUACGCAAAAUCGCAAGAUGAAGUAUGUGGUGUGACGCCUGCCCGGUGCUGGAAGGUUAANAGGAGGNGUUAGUCUUCGGGCGAAGCUNCGAAUUGAAGCCCCAGUAAACGGCGGCCGUAACNAUAACGGUCCUAAGGUAGCGAAAUUCCUUGUCGGGUAAGUUCCGACCUGCACUGAAUGGCGUAACGANNUCCCCGCUGUCUCAACCNUGUGCUCAGCGAAUUUGAAAACCGCGUGCAGAUGCGCGGUACCCGCAGCAAGACGGAAAGACCCCGUGAACCUUUACUAUAGCUUGACACUGAUAUUCGGGUUUACUUGUGUAGCAUAGGUGGGAGGCUUUGAAGCAGAAACGCUAGUUUUUGUGGAGCCGACAGUGAAAUACCACCCUGGUGAAUCUGGAUGUCUAACCUGGUCCCCUUAUCGGGGAUGGAGACAGUGUCUGGUGGGUAGUUUGACUGGGGCGGUCGCCUCCUAAAGAGUAACGGAGGCGCGCAAUGGUUCCCUCAGGCCGGAUAGAAAUCGGUCGUAGAGUGCAAACGCAUAAGGGAGCUUAACUGCAAGACCUACAAGUCGAGCAGAUACGAAAGUAGGCGUUAGUGACCCGGUGGCUCCGCAUGGAAGGGCC